GAUAAGUAAUGUGAAUGGAGAAUUCGUGAAUGUCCAAAUUUUGAACGCCAUUGGGCCCCCGUAUUUGGGGGGCUGCUUGUCAACGCUUUAACCCUCAACCGUCCGAGGUCCGCUUUGGGUCGGACCCCUAAAAAGAUCCGG
rnacentral:rRNA from 1 species